rnacentral:lncRNA from 1 species
UAAAUCCAUGUUGUCCAUUUGAAAACCUGACCAAAGCCCAAUCUACAUACUUAGAAUAAAGCAAAAUCAAAAAAAAUUUUAUGCAUGAACCUAGAAUGAUCUAAUACCUAAGGGGGUAUUGAGCCCAUUAGAAAAACCUACCCUGUGUGUAUUGUCCAUGACUCAAUAACAUACGAUCAUCUCUUUAUGUGUUCAAAUUAAAGGUUGUAAUGUCGAAUUGUACGGACCGUUGUCCCUUAUUUCCCGGUGAGACAAAGAUGCUCAAAUCUCGAGUCCAAGCCUCUCAUUAAGUUCAAUUAGGACUGAUUCACAUUGAUAUACAACAGAUACAUAUAUCAUACAGGCGAUAUACAAUGAAAAUAGAUGAAGGGAGUCUAGCUUAAAGGUGGAAAACCAACUGAAUAUAUAUACUGGCUGAUAUACAUUUGGCAUAUAUGAAAAAUACAAGAAGUAUACUUCUGGUAUACAUCCAAUAUACAAACAGGAAAGAUGGAUUUAAAGUUCAUGAAAUUUAGUCCAAAACAUGGGUAGAUCAGAAAUGAGGAAUUGAGGUAUACUUGCCAUUAUUAAAUAUAAUUGACAACAAAGUAGCCAAUAAAUAUUGGC